CUUUGCAGUGUGUCCUCAUCCACUUUGGUCCCUGGAUCUGGCACCAUGUGAUUUCUGGCUCCUUCUUGAAAUCAAAAUGACCGUGACAGGCUCCCGGAGAGGCCUGAGCAUCCUCACAGCACCCACUGAGGAGGAGGAUAUCAAUGGCACACUUGGUGGUCAGAGACUAAGCGUGAAGGUCACCCAGGAGGGCACAUUCCCAAGCCUCGGAAGGGAUAGGUGGUGAUGACGGCAUUGGAGACGGCAUUGGAGACGGCAACCUGAAGAGUUGGUUUGGCUGAGACUGAGGAUUCAGGAGCAGAGGAAGCCCUGGGUCAAAGAACCAGCGAAGCCAGUGGUGUGACUCGUUCUCUGCCUGCAGCUCUGAGGACCAGGAUCCCCGAUGUCCAAGACCCAAAGAAGAUGGAUGGCUAAGCUCAAGCUCAGAGAGGAACUGGUCCAUCCUAACUUUUCAUGUCAUCUGGGCUUCAACAGACGGGGUGCAGCUGGCUACGAGCCUGUUAGUGAGAGUGGACCAUCUUUCCUCAGUUUCCCUAUCUGAUGCUAAAGCCUUCUGAAAACAUCCUCCUGUACAUACCUGAAAUCGUGUUGU